AACGAACGCUGGCGGCGCGCCUAAUACAUGCAAGUCGAGCGAGAAGACGUAGCAAUACGUUUGUAAAGCGGCGAACGGGUGAGGAAUACAUGGGUAACCUACCCUCGAGUGGGGAAUAACUAGCCGAAAGGUUAGCUAAUACCGCGUACGCUCCUUGGACUUCGGUUCAGGGAGGAAAGCGAUACCGUGGGUAUCGCGCUCUUGGAUGGGCUCAUGUCCUAUCAGCUUGUUGGUGAGGUAACGGCUCACCAAGGCUUCGACGGGUAGCUGGUCUGAGAGGACGAUCAGCCACACUGGCACUGCGACACGGGCCAGACUCCUACGGGAGCAGCAGUAAGGAAUAUUGCGCAAUGGGCGAAAGCCUGACGCAGCGACGCCGCGUGGGGGAUGAAGGUCUUCGGAUU
rnacentral:rRNA from 1 species